rnacentral:lncRNA from 1 species
UUUCAUCCCGGAAAAUGCAGAAUUUAGGCAUUUGGUGGAUACUUUUGAGACCAACUCAGAUAGCUGGACCUUCGCAGCCUCUAGUCCAACUGUGCCCAAAUUUUGUCUUCCAAGCGUAUCUUGCGCUUUCUCCAGCACCGCUUGCAGGUAUUUCCCUUGAGCUUCUAUUCGUAGCUGUAAAUGUCGUUGUACCUAUCAGUUCAGAAUUAAAUGUGAUUUAAAAUGUUGUUCAAAAAUUGUUUGAGAACUUUGGGUGGAAUUAGAACUUGAAAGAAGUGAAUAAAUUUUAAUUGUUUGAAUUGUAUAUUGGCUGCAUAAAAUGCAUAUAUAAUUUUAUAUGCUAUGUAUGCUCAAUCUCAAAGUUACUAGAUGAAUAGUUGUAGCCAUCAAAUAUGUUUGAAAUUUUUCUUUUUCUUUUUACUCUGGAGAUUUCUUGUGAAAUAUUCUGAUGUUUAAAAAGAAAUACUAUUAUCUGAUAAUUGUGCAGCGUAUUGUACCUCAAGCUGCUCAUGUAGCCGUCUCUGCACUUCAAUUUGCAUCUGUAUUGCUUCACUUAUAUGUAAACUUCAAUAUAGAACAUCUUGUAGUUAGAGUACAAUCUUUGAAAUAUUAAAUUAUGAAAUAUAAAAUAAUUAAGAAAAAGUAUGAUAAUGCUCUUGCGCUCAUACUUAUUAUUUGUUUGAGGUCCAAUGCUUGAAUUACUCGUGUGAAUUGUUCCAGUUGAUUCAGGGAUCCUUUCUCCCGCCAUUGCAACCAUUCCUACAUUAGCAAAUCAUUGUUAUGUUCUACCCCCCAAAACUGAUGUAUAAUAUGAUGUGUCCAUUGAUAUAUUAAAAUCAUACCAGUUUUGUUUGUCCCAGUAUUUGCUUGUCCUGGUAGAUUUUUGCUGAGCCUGUACUUCUGCCAGCCAAAAAACAAGAGUUAAUGAAAAGAUAGGACAAUGCAUGUAUUUUCAUAAAACCGCAAACCUUUCCUUCCAUUUGACACAUCAAUUGGCAACCAUAGGAUAUACCCCGGAUGGCCUGAAGUUUAAUAUGAAGAAACUUUCUAAACUAAUCAUGGGUAAAAUAUAUACCUGAAGAUGACUUUUUAGGUGGUAUAAGGUAAGUCCUUGAAUCCCCAUUAGUUUCAAAACUGAUUUAGGAGUAGCCUCUGCAAAAUAGAAGAGUAGACACUUCAAUAGGUAAAUAAUAGUAAAAACUUUGCAUGGUGCUAUGAAACUUUAACUUAGUUUUUUGCACUCACUAUCAGCUCCUCCAAGCUGAUUGACGGCUUCUAUAAACCGCUCGUGAAGGUCUGGUGUCCAUUUCAAUCUAGGCUUUGCAUCAGUUGAAAGUACAAGUCCCGAAUCUCCUGUAGCAUUCCCACCUUGCAGGAACAAAUGUCUUUCUGGCGUGGACAUUCUUGAAGAAGGUUGGAUAUUAUUUGCUUGAUACUGUUGUUGAUGAUACAUUUUGCCUUCAAAAUGAUUGCUUUAUGAUUAGCUUCAUGGUACUACUGCUACACAAUAAUAUGUCCCUACGUAUGAAAAGUUGUGGGUUUACCUGCACUCUUAGUUCUGCUCACCGCUGAAUUGUGAAAUUUGAUUCUUCUGAUACUUGGUAAAAUAGAAAAAAUGUUGUCUAGUACAACAGCUCAAAAAUGUUGUCUACUACAACAGCUCUUAUCUAUUACCUCUCUUAUUGACCAAUUCUCUGACAAACCAAGGGUGUGCUCAAGCACGUCCUUAUAAAGAAAAUGGAGAAAGGAUUGUGGGGGAGGUGAGGAGAGGGAGAGUCUUACGAAGGCAUAGAAUCUUGGAAAGACCGAAUAUUGAAUGGAACACACAGCCCAAUCCAAUAUUCACAGCAACUCAUAAAGAGAUCUUGUCCUUCCAGUACUAAGCAUCUGUGGGACCUAUUCCUAAGCUCCACUUUCCAUUCUCAGUUAGCACUAUCAGUCUAAAUAUAUAUCUUCCUGCAACGCUUAACACCUUACCAUAGAUACAAGAAUAGAUCCACCAGUCGUUUCUGUGCAUUCAGAUUCGUCAUCUGGGGAAGUUGGGGAAUCUUAUUCCCAGAUUUAAGAGUAUAAUUUUCUGACCUGGACAGGGAGAAUCCACUAUCUCUAUUGUGUUUAAAACCUUCAAAGCCAUCUUCUAAAACUCCUAUCACAUUGUUCUUUUUACCACCUUGGACUUGCAGUUGUAUUUUCUUAUAUUAUCACAGUAGUACCUUUUAAAUUCAGUUGAAUUGCAAUUAAAGAUUCGUUUUAAGUUUGUUUAAUUACGAGGGUGCAGACAAGCGGAAAAGAAAACUCAAGUGGUUUGUUUUUGUAGGAGAAGAUUCUGUUGACUGGAGCAUUUGGAACUUGGAAUUGGAUACAUACAAGAGAAAGGUAGAAAAAAUUGUGAAAGAUGCUCCUCCUUAAGAUUGUCUAAAGGGCCAAGAAUGGAAUAAGGAAUACAUUCAUUGUUGUCUCCUUCCAUAAGUUUGGUACUUAUUCAGCCUAGACAGAAUUUAGAUAGAUUGGAAGAGGGCCCCAAUUAAACCUUUUCUAUUCUUCAAUUGGUACAAGGAAGAUGGCCCCACAUUGAAGCUGCUGGGACCCUCUCAAUUGAAAUUAAUGGAUUGUACUUUCUCAAUACUUGCAUUUGAUGAAAAGCAUGACAAGUCGUGGCCUGGUGAGGACCAUUUCCUUUCCCUUGACUCGAGCUUCGUUUGGCUUUGCAGAUUCUUGGGUAUGAAUCUACUACCUACUUGCUUGUUGUAUAUGUUUAAUGAUUGCUUUUUUUCUUUCUUUAUUAUUUGCACAGUAGAUUAAAUCUCGUCAGUUGUAAGGCAUGCGUCUAUAUGACAUACAAAUAGACGAUAUCCUGUAUAUAGUGAAUACAACUUUACAACACUGCAUGAACAUAUGUAUAUUUGUGCUAAUUCAUAAUAAUUGAUAACAUGUGCAUUCUGAAAAGUCAACUGUUAAUUAUAAUUUAUAUACAUCUAAACAUGAAUACACAGAGUAAAUUUAUGCUAUAAAUGGUAUCUCAUAUAGUAGUUGAUUUAUGUGAAUUCUAAGCAAAAAGAGUCCUGCAGAC